rnacentral:tRNA from 1 species
GGCCGGGUUAGCUCAGUUGGUUAGAGCGCGGUGCUAAUAACGCUGAGGUCGUGGGUUCGAUCCCCAUAUCGGCCA